AGAAAUGGUUCCAAAACCACAGCUUCCUAACUCUGAUUCCAAAAUCUUCCUUCACAGAGGAACAUGCAUCAAAAUGGUUUCCUGUAGUUAGUCUCUCAUGAACACCCACUGCCCUUCUUAUUUUCAUCAUCCUUCCUCCUGUUUACACCAUCCUCCCCUACUUCCCUUCUGUGUGUUUUUCCUUCUAUUUAUUGUCUCUGUCUGGCUUUCUGUUAACUAUUCCAAACUUGAAGUCUUUCAAUUCUCUGCGGCAUUUAUUUUCUUUAAAUACCUACAGUGUUUUAUUUCUAUUUCUCCUGUU
rnacentral:lncRNA from 1 species